AUGGGAGUCAACAAGAUCACUGACAUCAAAGGCAAUGAGAGGAAAGGAGGAGAGAGAAAGGAGGAGCCGACCCCUGCUCUCACCAAGGAGAGCAGCAUUCCGAGUAGAAGGAUGUGUGGCUCUGCCUGGGGCCCCACCCUGCUCUGCUGUGUCACUGUCUCUCUCCUGGCAACAGGUGCAGCAAAUCCCGGGGUCAUCCAGACUCCAAGACACCUAAUCAAAGCACAGGGAGGAAGGUCCAUUCUGAAAUGCAUUCCGAUGUCUGGACAUAACAAUGUGGCCUGGUACCAACAGCCUCUGGGGCAGGAACUGAAGUUCCUCAUUCAGCAUUAUGAAAAAAUGGAGAGAGCGAAAGGAGACAUGCCCAACCGAUUCUCAGUCCAGCAGUUCAGUGACUAUCACUCUGAGAUGAACAUGAGCGCCUUGCAGCUGGAGGACUCUGCUGUGUACUUCUGUGCCAGCUCACCACAGCCUCUCAGACAGACUGGCUUUCUGUCCCUUAAUCUUCCUGUCCCAGCUGGUGCUGUACUAGAGAGGGGUGGGAAGAUGCCUCAUAACCUAAGCCAAAGCCCAGGAAUGCUUGUAUGUUCUACAAAUACCCCCACUGCCCCGCUGAGCUCACACAGAGCAUUCUAA